GCCCUUUGACCCUGUUAACAGUGACACUGCUGGGCUUUGAAUACACUUGAACUCGGACUAGAAGGUGAAGGGAAAAUUUCGUCGGCGCUGGUACCUCUUUAUACUGGCCGGAGGCACAAGUGAAGCGACUCCUGCGAUGUUAGACCUCGGAUGGUCUCAUCACUUGUCCAGGAUGUCCUGAAGCGAUCAAGUCACGGUUCAGCCCUCGGUAUUUCCAAAGUGAUGUUGCAGUUUUCUUUGGAGGCCAUUUACCACAGGCUCGAUGCAUUGAAAGGAAAAGUGGAGGUGAAUUGACCUUGUUGAGAGGAUGACGGUGGGCACCAGGCAGCCCAUUUAGACAUCUGACUGCCUCUGCCAGCUCAUCCACAGCAUCCUCAAAAACUCUUCUAGAAAGUCAACUUCAGCAGCACUGGACCAAUCACACAACUGAAACUAGAUUUUUUUUUUUUUUUCACAAAUGCAAUUUACUGUUUAAAAAUAAGCAUUACAUAUGGAUGGAAGCAGCCACAGGAGAAAGAGUAUUACAGCUACAAUGUCAUAAUACUAUGGUUUGAUUAUUGAAUUGAGAGCCUGAUCACCCAUACUGACAUAAAACCUAAAGGUACAAAGUGUGACUUUGCCACCCCACCAGAGGGUGCUCAUGUUCAAUGGAAAACACAGAACAAGCCUCCCUCCAACCUUCUCUGCUCAGAUCAUGUCUCCAUUGAGUGAUUACAGUUUCUUGAGCUGACCAGUUAGGGACAAUUAAACAUCUGCUCCUCCA